AGUGAACGCUGGCGGUAGGCCUAACACAUGCAAGUCGAACGGCAGCACAGUAAGAGCUUGCUCUUACGGGUGGCGAGUGGCGGACGGGUGAGGAAUACAUCGGAAUCUACUUUUUCGUGGGGGAUAACGUAGGGAAACGUACGCUAAUACCGCAUACGACCUACGGGUGAAAGCAGGGGAUCUUCGGACCUUGCGCGAUUGAAUGAGCCGAUGUCGGAUUAGCUAGUUGGCGGGGUAAAGGCCCACCAAGGCGACGAUCCGUAGCUGGUCUGAGAGGAUGAUAAGCCACACUGGAACUGAGACACGGUCCAGACUCCUACGGGAGGCAGCAGUGGGGAAUAUUGGACAAUGGGCGCAAGCCUGAUCCAGCCAUACCGCGUGGGUGAAGAAGGCCUUCGGGUUGUAAAGCCAUUUUGUUGGGAAAGAAAAGCAGCAGGUUAAUACCCCGCUGUUCUGACGGUACCCAAAGAAUAAGCACCGGCUAACUUCGUG
rnacentral:rRNA from 1 species